UACGGAGGGUGCAAACGUUGCUCGGAAUCAUUGGGCGUAAAGCGCACGUAGGCGGCUUCGCAAGUCGGAUGUGAAAUCCCUCGGCUCAACCGAGGACGUGCACCCGAAACUGCGAAGCUUGAGUACUGAAGAGGAUCGCGGAAUUCCCGGUGUAGAGGUGAAAUUCGUAGAUAUCGGGAGGAACACCAGUGGCGAAGGCGGCGAUCUGGGCAGAUACUGACGCUGAGGUGCGAAAGCGUGGGGAGCAAACAGG
rnacentral:rRNA from 1 species